rnacentral:rRNA from 1 species
UAUUGCACAAUGGGGGAAACCCUGAUGCGGCGACGCCGCGUGAGCGAUGAAGUAUUUCGGUAUGUAAAGCUCUAUCAGCAGGGAAGAAAAUGACGGUACCUGACUAAGAAGCCCCGUCUAACUACGUGCCAGCAGCCGCGGUAAUACGUAGGGGGGCAAGCGUUAUCCGGAUUUACUGGGUGUAAAGGGAGCGUAGACGGCUGUGCAAGCCAGAUGUGAAAGCCCGGGGCUCAACCCCGGGACUGCAUUUGGAACUGUAUGGCUGGAGUGUCUGAGAGGCAGGCGGAAUUCCUAGUGUAGCGGUGAAAUGCGUAGAUAUUAGGAGGAACACCAGUGGCGAAGGCGGCCUGCUGGACGAUGACUGACGUUGAGGCUCGAAAGCGUGGGGAGCAAACAGG